rnacentral:rRNA from 1 species
GUGCCAGCAGCCGCGGUAAUACAGAGGCCUCGAGCGUUAGGCGGAAUCACUGGGCUUAAAGCGUGUGUAGGUGGAUGCCUAAGUACCUUGUGAAAUCCCACGGCUUAACCGUGGAAUUGCUUGGUAUACUGGGUGUCUUGAGCCACUCAGGGGCUACCGGAACAAGCGGUGGAGCGGUGAAAUGCGUAGAUAUCGCUUGGAACGCCAAUGGUGAAAACAGGUAGCUGGGGGUGUGCUGACACUGAGACACGAAAGCCAGGGGAGCAAACGGGAUUAGAAACCCCAGUAGUCC